rnacentral:rRNA from 1 species
AGUGAACGCUGGCGGUAGGCCUAACACAUGCAAGUCGAACGGCAGCACAGUAAGAGCUUGCUCUUACGGGUGGCGAGUGGCGGGCGGGUGAGGAAUACAUCGGAAUCUACUUUUUCGUGGGGGAUAACGUAGGGAAACUUACGCUAAUACCGCAUACGACCUACGGGUGAAAGCAGUGGAUCUUCGGACCUUUCGCGAUUGAAUGAGCCGAUGUCGGAUUAGCUAGUUGGCGGGGUAAAGGCCCACCAAGGCGACGAUCCGUAGCUGGUCUGAGAGGAUGAUCAGCCACACUGGAACUGAGACACGGUCCAGACUCCUACGGGAGGCAGCAGUGGGGAAUAUUGGACAAUGGGCGCAAGCCUGAUCCAGCAAUACCGCGUGGGUGAAGAAGGCCUUCGGGUUGUAAAGCCCUUUUGUUGGGAAAGAAAAGCAGCAGGUUAAUACCCCGCUGUUCUGACGGUACCCAAAGAAUAAGCACCGGCUAACUUCGUG